rnacentral:lncRNA from 1 species
CUGUCUCCCAGGCCUGAGCCUUGCAGGGAUUGUUCCCCCUGUCAAGGUCUCAUAACUAGGCUGCAUUCCCUUUGUGACCUCAGUUUACCCAUUUGUGAAAUAAGAGGGUUGGACAAGGUGACCUGUUGGAGGCUUCCAGAACUCAGCCCCCAAGACUGUGGUGCUAAACACAUUGGGAAGCUCACAGUGUUCCCCAGGGAAUGGGGUCCAGUAGAUUCAGUGACAGAGAUUUGACUCAAACUAGCUUGAGCAAAACCACAAUGAGUUGGCUCCUACAGCUGGGAAGAGAGAGCUGCCAGGUUUUCUUCAAAGGAUCCCAGUGAUGACCUCUGGUGCCCUGAGUCCACAUCCUUAUGGCUUGUGAUCAAAGAGAAGAGAAGCUCCUUUCUCCAGCUUCCGCCUAAUAAAUCUUGUGAAGUCGCUGAUGGA